CAUUAUCGUACAACCGAGGUGCAAGGGCUGUCGCUGACCUCCAAAGGUUGUGCACGCCCGAGCGCUCUCACACAAUCCAUCUCACACCCCUUUGUGCAUCACCGCGAGGGUCCCAGUGGCUGUAACGGCCCCAAGGUGGGAAUGCGAGGCGAUGUUUUCCCCAACGGAGUCCCGUGCUCGUGCGCCGAGUUCAAGACUGUCCCCUCCAGAAAACUUUGGUGUCCAUCGUCCCUCACAGCGUAGGCUGUGGUCGGAUUUGGAGUAAUCGGCCCUUGUCUAGCCAGGGAAGCAAUUCCGCAGCUAGCAGGACUCACCGAGUUGGUCUUAGGAGAUCAGGGCACGUCAUCUGUCGCGCGGGUGCGCCGUGUCCCUCGUAGACCUUUAUACCUCGCGUUUUCACACAAACCUCUGAUACAGUGUAGAAUGUUAUUUUACCUUUUGCGGUCACACGCAAUCAAUACAACUUUCAACAACGGAUCUCUCGGCUCUCGCAUCGAUGAAGAACGCAGCGAAAUGCGAUACGUAAUGUGAAUUGCAGAAUUCAGUGAAUCAUCGAAUCUUUGAACGCACCUUGCGCCCCUUGGCAUUCCGAGGGGCACACCCGUUUGAGUGUCGUGAAACCAUCAAAACCUUUUUCUCUUUGAUCCCUGAGAGUGUCGAAAUACUAUCAACACUUUUUUCUUUGAUAUCAAAAAUAUAUUGGUGUGGAAAAAGGGAUUGGAGAUUGAGGGUUCACAUUCUCUUUUUUUUGAGAAAGCGAGCUCCUCUCAAAUGAAUCAGUGGGGUCCGCUUUGCCGAUCCUUGACGUGAUAAGAUGCUUCUACGUUUUGGAUUUGGCACUGUCCCUUGGAUGCCUGCUUCUAACCGUCCCAUGGACAAAGAUGGUGCUCCGGUCAACCGCCGUCUACGUUGGCGGGGGGAGGCUGGACCCACAAGAAGAAAACCUUGACCUCAA
rnacentral:misc_RNA from 1 species